AGUGAACGCUGGCGGUAGGCCUAACACAUGCAAGUCGAACGGCAGCACAGUAAGAGCUUGCUCUUACGGGUGGCGAGUGGCGGACGGGUGAGGAAUACAUCGGAAUCUACUUUUUCGUGGGGGAUAACGUAGGGAAACUUACGCUAAUACCGCAUACGACCUACGGGUGAAAGCAGGGGAUCUUCGGACCUUGCGCGAUUGAAUGAGCCGAUGUCGGAUUAGCUAGUUGGCGGGGUAAAGGCCCACCAAGGCGACGAUCCGUAGCUGGUCUGAGAGGAUGAUCAGCCACCCUGGAACUGAGACACGGUCAAGACUCCUACGGGAGGCAGCAGUGGGGAAUAUUGGACAAUGGGCGCAAGCCUGAUCCAGCCAUACCGCGUGGGUGAAGAAGGCCUUCGGGUUGUAAAGCCCUUUUGUUGGGAAAGAAAAGCAGCAGGUUAAUACCCCGCUGUUCUGACGGUACCCAAAGAAUAAGCACCGGCUAACUUCGUG
rnacentral:rRNA from 1 species